CCUACGGGUGGCAGCAGUGAGGAAUAUUGGUCAAUGGGCGCGAGCCUGAACCAGCCAAGUAGCGUGAGGGAUGACUGCCCUAUGGGUUGUAAACUUCUUUUAUAAAGGAAUAAAGUGAGGCACGUGUGCCUUUUUGUAUGUACUUUAUGAAUAAGGAUCGGCCAACCCCGUGCCAGCAGCCGCGGUAAUACGGAGGAACCGUGCGUUAUCCGGAUUUAUUGGGUUUAAAGGGAGCGUAGAUGGGUUGUUAAGUCAGUCGUGAAAGUUUGCGGCUCAACCGUAGAAUUGCCAUUGAUACUGGCAGUCUUGAGUACAGUAGAGGUAGGCGGAAUUCGUGGUGUAGCGGUGAAAUGCUUAGAUAUCACGAAGAACUCCGAUUGCGAAGGCAGCUUACUAGACUGCCACUGACAUUGAGGCUCGAAAGUGUGGGUAUCAAACAGGAUUAGAUACCCGAGUAGUC
rnacentral:rRNA from 1 species